rnacentral:rRNA from 1 species
GAUGAACGCUGACAGAAUGCUUAACACAUCAGCAAUUGAUUGGUGGCGGACGGGUGAGUAACGCGUAAAGAACUUGCCUCACAGCUAGGGACAACAUUUGGAAACGAAUGCUAAUACUUAAUACUGUGAGAGAGCUGUGCGUCCCAUUAGCUAGUUGGAGAGGUAACGGCUCACCAAGGCGAUGAUGGUUAGCUGACCUGAGAGGGUGAUCGGACAAAAGGUGACUGAGACACGUACCGUACUCCUACGGGUGGCAGAAUUGGGGAAUAUUGGUCAAAGGAUCAAAGUCUGAUCCAGCAAUUCUGUGGGCAAGAUGAAGUUGUCGGAAUGUAGAGUGCUUUCAGUUGGGAAGCGGUACCAACAGAAGAAGUGACGGGUAAUUAGGUGCCAGAAGCGGCGGUAAGUC